rnacentral:rRNA from 1 species
UACGGAGGGUGCGAGCGUUAAUCGGAAUUACUGGGCGUAAAGGGCGCGUAGGCGGCUGAUCAAGUCAGGUGUGAAAGCCCACGGCUUAACCGUGUGAAGUGCAUCUGAAACUAGGUCGGCUUGAGUGCAGGAGAGGUAAGUGGAAUUCCUAGUGUAGCGGUGAAAUGCGUAGAUAUUAGGAGGAACACCAGUGGCGAAGGCGACUUACUGGACUGUAACUGACGCUGAGGCGCG